rnacentral:SRP_RNA from 1 species
GCCUGUAGUCCCAGCUACUCAGGAGGCUGGGGUGGGAGGAUUGCUUGAGCCCAGGAGUUCUGGGCUGUAGUGCACUGUGCCAAUCAAGUGUCCGCACUAAGUUCGGCAUCAAUAUGGUGACCUCCUGGGAGCGGGGGACCACCAGGUUGCCUAAGGAGGGGCGAACCGGCCCAGGUCAGAAACAGAGCAGGUCAAAACUCCUGUGCUGAUCAGUAGUGGGAUCACAUCUGUGAAUAGCCACUGCACUCCAGCCUGGGCAACAUAGGGAGACCCUGUCUCU